UACGGAGGGGACUAGCGUUGUUCGGAAUUACUGGGCGUAAAGCGCACGUAGGCGGAUUUGUAAGUCAGGGGUGAAAUCCCGGGGCUCAACCUCGGAACUGCCUUUGAUACUGCAAAUCUCGGGUCCGGAAGAGGUGAGUGGAAUUCCUAGUGUAGAGGUGAAAUUCGUAGAUAUUAGGAAGAACACCAGUGGCGAAGGCGGCUCACUGGUCCGGUACUGACGCUGAGGUGCGAAAGCGUGGGGGAGCAAACAGG
rnacentral:rRNA from 1 species